UACGGGGGGGGCAAGCGUUGUUCGGAAUUACUGGGCGUAAAGGGCUCGUAGGCGGCCAACUAAGUCGGAUGUGAAAUCCCCAGGCUUAACCUGGGAACUGCAUCCGAUACUGGAUGGCUUGAAUCCGGGAGAGGGAUGCAGAAUUCCAGGUGUAGCGGUGAAAUGCGUAGAUAUCUGGAGGAACACCCGUGGCGAAGGCGGUUCUCUGGGACGGUACUGACGCUGAGACGCGAAAGCGUGGGGAGCGAACAGG
rnacentral:rRNA from 1 species